rnacentral:rRNA from 1 species
GUGCAGCAGGCGAGAAUACUUUACAAUGUGCGGAAGCACGGUAAGGGAACUCUGAGUGCCUCCUAAGGAGGCUGUUCAGGUGUCUAAAAAGCACCUGGAGUAAGGGCUGGGUAAGACCGGUGCCAGCCGCCGCGGUAACACCGGCAGCCCAGGUGGUAGCCACUUUUAUUGGGUCUAAAGCGUCCGUAGCCGGUUGAGUAAGUUCCUUGGGAAAUUUGGCUGCUCAACAGUCAAGCUUCCAGGGAAUACUGCUCGACUUGGGACUGGGAGAGGUCAGAGGUACUCCAGGGGUAGGGGUGAAAUCCAUUAAUCCCUGGGGGACCACCGGUAGCGAAGGCGUCUGACCAGACCAGGUCCGACGGUGAGGGACGAAGGCUAAGGUCGCGAACCGGAUUAGAUACUUGGGUAGU